GACGUAGGUGGCGAACGUUAUCCGGAUUUAUUGGGCGUAAAGGAUGCGUAGACGGUAAAACAAGUUACUACUUGACGUCGAGCUCAACUUGACUGAAAUUAGUAAUACUAUUUUGCUAGAGAUUGGGAGAAGUUGAUGGAAAUCUAUGUGGAGGGGUGAAAUGCGCAGAUAUCGGGAGGAACACCGGUGGCGAAGGCGGUUCUCUGGGCCUUACCUGACGCUGAGGAGCGAAAGCGUGGGGAGCGAACAGG
rnacentral:rRNA from 1 species